rnacentral:rRNA from 1 species
AACGAACGCUGGCGGCGUGGCUAAGACAUGCAAGUCGAACGGACUGGUCAAUUUAUUGAGCAGUUAGUGGCGAAAGGGUUAGUAAUGAAUAGGUAACGUACCCUGUGCUCCGGGAUAGCGUCUCCUGUACCCUUGUGGUACAGGAUUCCGAAAGGGGCGGUAAUACCGGAAAUAUCAUGUGUCGAUAGGCACAUGUUCAAAGAUUUAUCGGCGCAGGAGCGGCCUAUUUCCUAUCAGCUUGUUGGUGAGGUAAAGGCUCACCAAGGCGAUGACGGGUAGCGGGACUGAGAGGUUGGCCCGCAACAUCGGGACUGAGACACUGCCCGGACCUCCACGGAGGGCUGCAGUAACGAAUCUUGCGCAAUGGGCGAAAGCCUGACGCAGCGACGCCGCGUGCGGGAAGAAGUCCUUCGGGAUGUAAACCGCUGUCAGGGGUAAGAAAGUCCACUUCGGUGGAUUGAUCUAACCCAAAGGAAGUCACGGCUAACUUCGUGCCAGCAGCCGCGGUAAGACGAAGGUGGCAAGCGUUGUUCGGUAUCACUGGGCUUAAAGCGUGUGUAGGCGGAAAAGUAAGCGUCGCGUGAAAGCCCCCGGCUUAACCGGGGAACUGCUCGACGAACUGCUUUUCUUGAGGCAAGUAGGGGUGCACGGAACUCUUGGUGGAGCGGUGGAAUGCGUAGAUAUCAAGAGGAACGCCGGUGGAGAAAUCGGUGCACUGGGCUUGUGCUGACGCUGAGACACGAAAGCGUGGGGAGCGAACGGGAUUAGAUACCCCGGUAGUCCACGCCGUAAACGAUGUCUACUAGGUUGUGGAAGUUCUGACACUUGCACGACCGAAGCAAAAGUGAUUAGUAGACCGCCUGGGGAGACGGUCGCAAGGCG